GAAAGCCUGACGGAGCAAUACCGCGUGAGGGAGGAAGGCUCUUGGGUCGUWAACCUCUUUUCUCAGGGAAGAACACAAUGACGGUACCUGAGGAAUAAGCAUCGGCUAACUCCGUGCCAGCAGCCGCGGUAAUACGGAGGAUGCAAGCGUUAUCCGGAAUGAUUGGGCGUAAAGCGUCCGCAGGUGGCUAUGUAAGUCUGCUGUUAAAGCGUCUAGCUCAACUAGAUAAAAGCAGUGGAAACURCAAGGCUAGAGUGCGUUMGGGGCAGAGGGAAUUCCUGGUGUAGCGGUGAAAUGCGUAGAGAUCAGGAAGAACACCGGUGGCGAAG
rnacentral:rRNA from 1 species